rnacentral:rRNA from 1 species
ACAGAGGGUGCGAGCGUUGUCCGGAAUCACUGGGCGUAAAGGGCGCGUAGGUGGCUUGCCAAGCGUGUGGUGAAAGCCCGGAGCUCAACUCCGGGUCUGCCAUGCGAACUGGCAGGCUAGAGCACGGUAGAGGCCAAUGGAAUUCCGGGUGUAGCGGUGGAAUGCGUAGAGAUCCGGAAGAACACCGGUGGCGAAGGCGGUUGGCUGGGCCGUUGCUGACACUGAGGCGCGACAGCGUGGGGAGCAAACAGGAUUAGAUACCCUGGUAGUCCACGCCGUAAACGAUGGGCACUAGGUCCUUGGGGGAGCGACCCUCUGAGGGCCGGCGCUAACGCAUUAAGUGCCCCGCCUGGGGAGUACGGCCGCAAGGCUG